rnacentral:rRNA from 1 species
UACGAAGGGGGCUAGCGUUGUUCGGAAUUACUGGGCGUAAAGCGCGCGCAGGCGGUCUUCCAAGUCAGUGGUGAAAGCCUGGAGCUCAACUCCAGAACUGCCAUUGAAACUGUUAGACUUGAGUACGAGAGAGGUGAGUGGAAUUCCCAGUGUAGAGGUGAAAUCGUAGAUAUUGGGAAGAACACCGGUGGCGAAGGCGGCUCACUGGCUCGUAACUGACGCUCAGGCGCGACAGCGUGGGGAUCAAACAGG